CAGCACCUCAAGUGGGUCAGGAUGAUUAUUGGGCCUAAAGCAUCCGUAGCCGGCUUGUUAGUUUUCGGUUAAAUCUGUACGCUUAACGUACAGGCUGCCGGGAAUACUGCAGAGCUAGGGAGUGGGAGAGGUAGACGGUAUCGGUAGGAAGGGGUAAAAUCCUUUGAUCUAUUGAUGACCACCUGUGGCGAAGGCGGUCUACCAGAACACGUCCGACGGUGAGGGAUGAAAGCUGGGGGAGCAAACCGGAUUAGAUACCCGGGUAGUCCCAGCUGUAAACUAUGCAAGCUCAGUGAUGCAUUGGCUUGUGGCCAAUGCAGUGCUGCAGGGAAGCCGUUAAGUUUGCCGCCUGGGAAGUACGUACGCAAGUAUG
rnacentral:rRNA from 1 species